GGCGCAUGCGCGCAGGGGCACGUCCACCGGGCUCAUCAGCAAGAUCGCGUCCAGGUUCGCGCGCAGAGCUGCGCUUUGACAGACGUUUGAAGACAAAAUUCAAGGAAGGCAUCAAGUCUCUUUUUUGGAGAGAAAGGAAAAAAAAAAAACAAUAAAAAGGGAUGAAAUGAGGAUUUAAAAAUUCUGUCGAGUGGAAAGAGCACAACUUGACAUCAAAACUGGGUUUUAACAAAAAACGUUCACCCUCCUUAACGGCCUUGGAUUAGAAAAAGGAAUUAAAUAGGAUUUUACAUUUAUUGUUAUUAUUAUUAUUAUUAUUCUUAAAGUAACAUUUCUUUAAGAACUUUUAGACUUCUCACCCAUAAUAUGUAAUUUCCCUUUUUUCCUUCUAAAAAGUCUAUGUCCUACCAUCGUAUAGAUUACUUACAUAAUUUAACAUCAGAAAAACUUAACAUCAAAACAUAGUAAACACAAAAUAAAUGCAUAAAAGUAAACUAA